AAAGUCGUAACAAGGUUUCCGUAGGUGAACCUGCGGAAGGAUCAUUACCUAGAGUUUGUAGACUUCGGUCUGCUACCUCUUACCCAUGUCUUUUGAGUACCUUCGUUUCCUCGGCGGGUCCGCCCGCCGAUUGGACAACAUUCAAACCCUUUGCAGUUGCAAUCAGCGUCUGAAAAAACAUAAUAGUUACAACUUUCAACAACGGAUCUCUUGGUUCUGGCAUCGAUGAAGAACGCAGCGAAAUGCGAUAAGUAGUGUGAAUUGCAGAAUUCAGUGAAUCAUCGAAUCUUUGAACGCACAUUGCGCCCCUUGGUAUUCCAUGGGGCAUGCCUGUUCGAGCGUCAUUUGUACCUUCAAGCUCUGCUUGGUGUUGGGUGUUUGUCUCGCCUCCGCGUGUAGACUCGCCUUAAAACAAUUGGCAGCCGGCGUAUUGAUUUCGGAGCGCAGUACAUCUCGCGCUUUGCACUCAUAACGACGACGUCCAAAAGUACAUUUUUACACUCUUGACCUCGGAUCAGGUAGGGAUACCCGCUGAACUUAAGCAUA
rnacentral:rRNA from 1 species